rnacentral:lncRNA from 1 species
CCAGAACACACUCAUACAAUGUGGAAGCACUCACCCGGAUAUUGUAACAGAAGAGGCUUGUGCUGGCCUACGAGCCUUCACAAAUAAGACCUUGUACAGUUGACUUACUCCUUGUAUUACUCCUGGGAAGGGAUACUCCCGGAUGGACAUUGGUUCUAUCUGGGGCCCAGAUGUUUCAAGAAAUAUGCUAGGAUAGGGUAACUCAGAGACCCAUCCGAAGCACAAGUAGUCACCUUAGGGAGAAGAAGAGAGUAUCCUAGACUCCAGGAACUGGAAGGAAAUAAACGGAAGGAAAUAACUGAAAGAAAAAUAAAAGGCUGCUUACAGAAGGAAAAAGCCUUGAAGACACGGGCUCACACUUGAAGAAACCAUUUCUGAAAGGAAAUCUUGAAGCCAGUAGUGGUCUGGAUCAGGACCAGGAACCCAGCCAAGGGGUCUGGGCCCAGCAAGACAGGUGUCCAAGUGGAAGUAAAUGGACAUACCCUACUCACGGAGGGUCGGAGAAAGCUUGUCUGGAGAAACAUGCUCUCCUUUUCUGAAAAAUAGCACAGUGACUAAUAUGUCUAGACUGACUGUAAGAAUCGCAAGAAACUUGUAGAUCUCAAUCAGGAGAGGUUUAUUCCAGGGCUAUUUACUGGUGGCACCAAGCACGGCCUAACUCUGGACUAACGGGAGAAGAUCAGACAAAUAUUUAUUCAUGGAAGGGGUACUAAUUAUGAGACCGAAUUACGAUCCUGUUGGCACAGCACAAACUAUUCGAGCCAAAGGUAUUCCCUACCUCGGCUUCAAUAUUACGUGAGCUAAUUCUUUAUGCUUGAAGAGUUUGAGAAGCUUCAAGAUUGGGGUACACCAGAGGUGCAAACAAGAUGGGACAUCCUACCAACGGACACAGACUGUGAUUUUCAGAAUUUUCAAUUCAUAGUCACUCGGCCAGAGUUAAGUGAAUUGAAAUCUGUUACGAAGAUUUGUUGAAUACAAUAAAAUACUUCAGCAUGACA